CGGCAACAGCUCAAAUUUGAAAUCUGGCCUUUGGCCCGAGUUGUAAUUUGUAGAGGGCGCUUUGGCGUUGGCAGCGGUCCAAGUUCCUUGGAACAGGACGUCACAGAGGGUGAGAAUCCCGUACGUGGUCGCUGGCCUUCGCCGUGUAAAGCCCCUUCGAC
rnacentral:rRNA from 1 species